UACGGAGGGGGCUAGCGUUGUUCGGAAUUACUGGGCGUAAAGGGCUCGUAGGCGGUUUGUCGCGUCGGGAGUGAAAACCUUGGGCUUAACUCAGGGCUUGCUUUCGAUACGGGCAGACUAGAGGUAUGCAGGGGAGAACGGAAUUCCUGGUGUAGCGGUGAAAUGCGCAGAUAUCAGGAGGAACACCGGUGGCGAAGGCGGUUCUCUGGGCAUGAUCUGACGCUGAGGAGCGAAAGUGUGGGGAGCGAACAGG
rnacentral:rRNA from 1 species